rnacentral:rRNA from 1 species
GUGCUUUGGGGGCAAGCCUAAAACAUGCAAGUCGAGCGGUAGAGAGGUGCUUGCACCUCUUGAGAGCGGCGGACGGGUGAGUAAAGCCUAGGAAUCUGCCUGGUAGUGGGGGAUAACGCUCGGAAACGGACGCUAAUACCGCAUACGUCCUACGGGAGAAAGCAGGGGACCUUCGGGCCUUGCGCUAUCAGAUGAGCCUAGGUCGGAUUAGCUAGUUGGUGAGGUAAUGGCUCACCAAGGCGACGAUCCGUAACUGGUCUGAGAGGAUGAUCAGUCACACUGGAACUGAGACACGGUCCAGACUCCUACGGGAGGCAGCAGUGGGGAAUAUUGGACAAUGGGCGAAAGCCUGAUCCAGCCAUGCCGCGUGUGUGAAGAAGGUCUUCGGAUUGUAAAGCACUUUAAGUUGGGAGGAAGGGCAUUAACCUAAUACGUUAGUGUUUUGACGUUACCGACAGAAUAAGCACCGGCUAACUCUGUGCCAGCAGCCGCGGUAAUACAGAGGGUGCAAGCGUUAAUCGGAAUUACUGGGCGUAAAGCGCGCGUAGGUGGUUCGUUAAGUUGGAUGUGAAAUCCCCGGGCUCAACCUGGGAACUGCAUUCAAAACUGUCGAGCUAGAGUAUGGUAGAGGGUGGUGGAAUUUCCUGUGUAGCGGUGAAAUGCGUAGAUAUAGGAAGGAACACCAGUGGCGAAGGCGACCACCCUGGACUGAUACUGACACUGAUGUGCGAAAGCGUGGGGAGCAAACAGGAUUAGAUACCCCUGGUAGUCCACGCCGUAAACGAUGUCAACUACCCGUGGGAGCCUUGAGCUCUUAGUGGUGCAGCUAACGCAUUAAGUUUGACCGCCUGGGGAGUACUGGUCGCAGGUUUAAAACUCAAUGGAA